rnacentral:rRNA from 1 species
GCACAGCAACGGGUGGAGCGUGCGGUUUAAUUGGAUUCAACGCCGGAAAACUCACCGGAGGCGACGGUUACAUGAAGGCCAGGCUGAUGACCUUGCCAGAUUUUCCGAGAGGUGGUGCAUGGCCGCCGUCAGUUCGUACCGUAAGGCGUUCUGUUAAGUCAGACAACGAACGAGACCCUCAUCUUUAAUUGCUACUGGUAAGUCCGCUUAUCAGGCACAUUAAAGAAACCGCUGGCGAUAAGUCAGAGGAAGGCGAGGGCAACGGUAGGUCAGUAUGCCCUGAAUCCUCCGGGCUACACGCGCGCUACAAAGGCUAGGACAAUGGGUUCCUACACCGAAAGGUGACGGUAAUCCCGAAACCUAGUCGUAGUUCGGAUUGAGGAUUGAAACUCAUCCUCAUGAAGCUGGAAUCCGUAGUAAUCGCGGGUCAACAUCCCGCGGUGAAUAUGCCCCUGCUCCUUGCACACACCGCCCGUCAAACCAUGCGAGUUGGGUCUGAGUGAGGAUGUAGUAUUUUGCUGCGUUCAAACUUAGGCUUAGUAAGCGGGGUU